CCUACGGGGGGCUGCAGUGAGGAAUAUUGGUCAAUGGGCGCGAGUCUGAACCAGCCAAGUAGCGUGAAGGAUGACUGCCCUACGGGUUGUAAACUUCUUUUAUAUAGGAAUAAAGUGAUGCACGUGUGCCUUUUUGUAUGUACCUUAUGAAUAAGGAUCGGCUAACUCCGUGCCAGCAGCCGCGGUAAUACGGAGGAUCCGAGCGUUAUCCGGAUUUAUUGGGUUUAAAGGGAGCGUAGAUGGGUUGUUAAGUCAGUUGUGAAAGUUUGCGGCUCAACCGUAAAAUUGCAAUUGAUACUGGCAGCCUUGAGUACAGUUGAGGUAGGCGGAAUUCGUGGUGUAGCGGUGAAAUGCUUAGAUAUCACGAAGAACUCCGAUUGCGAAGGCAGCCUACUAAACUGCCACUGACAUUGAUGCUCGAAAGUGUGGGUAUCAAACAGGAUUAGAUACCCGGGUAGUC
rnacentral:rRNA from 1 species